UCGUGAUUCCCGAUCAAGAGGAAUAAGCAGAUAUACAGCACCUACACCAAUACCCUAAAGUCCCAAAACCCUUUCCACUCCAAUGGGCUGGUUCACAACAAAACUAUGGUUGUGGUAGUCAUGAAAUGCUGAUUUGGUCAGCAAAACCCAGUCACUUCUCAUGUGAGGAGCACAGGCACUCUCAGUAGUAUCAGGCACAUGAUCCACAAGAAAUGCACAGGCACUCUCAGUAGUAUCAGGCACAUGAUCCACAAGAAAAAAUUCCACCCUGAGCCAGUACCACCCUAAGAAAUGAAAAGUCUGUGAUGGUGAAGAGGAAGCAGACCCUCCCCACCAGGAGUUCCUGA
rnacentral:lncRNA from 1 species